CCUGAUGGCUCAGAUGGUAAAGAAUCUGCCUACAGUGCAGGAGACCUGGGUUCGAUCCCAGGGUCAGGA
rnacentral:tRNA from 1 species